rnacentral:lncRNA from 1 species
UUCUUAUUAAAAUCCUUCCAUCAACCCCGGGUUAUUAAAUCAUUUCAUAAUGAAGGAACCAUAUUUAGCAGGAAAUCGAAAAUAGAGGAAAUUUCCAGCAAUCAUCCAAGCAAGGCAGUAUAAACAUAAUGUUCUUGUUGCAAUAAAAUCAAUUCACAUGUAAAUGGGAAAUUUUCAAGAUUUAUCAUGCCAUAUAAUCACAUAUUAUAAUCAUAAUCUUUCUAUUGCAUAUACAUAUGCUUAAGCAUAUAUCAAUUAAUAUACCAC